ACUGUCAUUUCUAUCUCCACCAGAGCUAGGCAUGUAGGGCUAAAAGCUGAGAACGCCAAGACAUCUUCUGCAGCUCCUCUCUCUGUGCCUUGGAUGACCCUCCCAGCUACAAAUUCUAGGCAGUCUGUUCUGCUUGGGCAGGUGUUACUUUGUUCUCAAGCCCAUCACACCAUGCAGACAUCACCUUCUCCUUCUGGAGACUAGCACAUCCUUCAGGGAGCUGGAACCAGUUGUGAACUGAAGGAUGCCAAGCAUCUGCUGAACAGCAAGAAAACAGUCAAACUGGUGAAAACUGCAGCUCGACAUGGCACGGGGGGAGGACCCCAGAAUCGGAAGGCAGGAGGCCUGGUGCCGGCUUUCACUCUGUUACUGACUCAGUUAUCCACUCACUCACACUUUCAACAACAUGUAUCAAGCACUUCUGUGUUCAGGCACUGGUCUAAGUCCUGCAGAUGUAUUGGUGACAAGACCCUAGCUCUUCUGGGACUUACCAUCCGGAAAAGAGUCAGACACACAGAGAGGAAAAUACAUAUGAGAGAAUAGGUUGAUGUCAUAGGGAAUGACUGGAUGGGCUACCUCAGUUUUGAGGUCAGGAAGGGCCUCUCUGAGUACUGACAUUUCAGCUGAAGUGUGAGUUACUAAUCUAAAAAGGAAACAGUCAUUCAAGGAUCCUGAGGAAGGGCAUUCCAGGAUGAACAGCUGGUGAAAAAGUCCUAAGGUGGAAAUAGAUAGCAGGUUUUCACGGGACAAAAAGACUAGUAUUGCUUGAGUGGAGAGAUGAGUGGUAAGUGAUUUGAAAUGACUUUGAAGAGGUAGGCAGAAGCCAUGUAACCUCUUGCUUUAAGGAAUUUGGACUUUAUUUCGAGUACAAUGGGAAAGCAUGGUGCCGGGGGCCAGCGUGAGGAACUCCACCCAUGGCCAAGGUCAUGAGGAAGGAGGCUUCGGCAUAUGCAAA